rnacentral:rRNA from 1 species
UACGGAGGGUGCAAGCGUUGUCCGGAAUCACUGGGCGUAAAGGGCGCGUAGGCGGCUCAUGAAGGCUGUGGUGAAAGUCCGGGGCUCAACCUCGGAUCGGCCGUGGCGACUCGUGGGCUGGAGCACUGUAGAGGCGGGUGGAAUUCCGGGUAUAGCGGUGGAAUGCGUAGAGAUCCGGAAGAACACCAGUGGCGAAGGCGGCCCGCUGGGCAGUGGCUGACGCUGAGGCGCGGCAGCGUGGGGAGCAAACAGG